CUCAUUGAACUCGCCUGCAUCUCUUGGGGGAUUUUUGUGGCUCUCUUCGUUAUUGGAGCCAGGCCUACACGUCAGCAACCAUGUCCAAGGGACCUGCAGUUGGUAUUGAUCUUGGCACCACCUACUCUUGUGUGGGUGUUUUCCAGCACGGAAAAGUCGAGAUAAUUGCCAAUGAUCAGGGAAACCGAACCACUCCAAGCUAUGUCGCCUUUACGGACACUGAACGGUUGAUCGGUGAUGCCGCAAAGAAUCAAGUUGCAAUGAACCCCACCAACACAGUUUUUGACUGUUACCAAUGCUGUGGUCACAGUGCCAGCUUACUUUAAUGACUCUCAGCGUCAGGCUACCAAAGAUGCUGGAACUAUUGCUGGUCUCAAUGUACUUAGAAUUAUUAAUGAGCCAACUGCUGCUGCUAUUGCUUACGGCUUAGACAAAAAGGUAUGUACCAUUUGUGAUGCAAAUCCAGAUUAUUUUAAGAUUAAUUUGAUCCAUCACGAAUUUAAAUGAUUGUUUUUAAUGGCAGGUUGGAGCAGAAAGAAACGUGCUCAUCUUUGACCUGGGAGGUGGCAC
rnacentral:sRNA from 1 species